GUUCCUUCACGAUCGCCGAAAUUAAGCAACGUCGUGCCUGGUCAGCACCUAGAUGGGUGACCGUUUGGGAAUACCAGGUGCUGUAA